rnacentral:ribozyme from 1 species
UAACUAAACCAAAAAAAAAAAAAAUACCACAAACAACAAAGACAGACGUUGCCUGCCAAUGGUACACUACACACUCGUUCUGUUUUUUUUCGCAUCAAUCUAUUUUUAACACUCGUGGAAUUUUAGACAGCAGGAA